rnacentral:tRNA from 1 species
GGAGAUGGGCUGUGGCUCAGUGGCUGAGCAUCUGUGUGAUAUGCAAGAAGUCCCAGGUUCGAUCCACGGUAGCUCCA